AACUAGCCCAGAUCGCAACGGCAUCCUUUUUUGUGGAAGGGAAUAGGAGUGGGACAAAAAAGAUAGAGUGGAGAGCUGGAAAAAGC
rnacentral:sRNA from 1 species